rnacentral:lncRNA from 1 species
UCAAAUUAGGGUUAUGGUUUCAAUCCUUGUUCCCGGAAUCAAUUAAUGAUUUUGGAGUGAUCUUGAAUGCAAAGCCUAUCGUGUUUAUGCUCGUUGUGAAGCUCUUGAGUUGUUCUUCCACAAUCUUUCAUCCAAAUCACCGAAAAUGUGGUAAAUUUCCAAUUUCGAAAUUAGGGUUCUUUGUCGUUUUUAAUUUGAAUUGGGGGUUUUAAAUCUAGUGACUAUUUGUAUGUUUUGAUGCUUUAAAUAGCUUCCAUAUGAUGUUUACAGCUUGUUUGUACUACUUAUUGAUGUGUUUUAUUACCGGAAUGAUUGGACAAGUUACAUGGGUUUUGACCCGUUUUGAAUCAGGUUUAAUUAAAGUAGGGCUUCUUGUUUGAUUGAUUGCUUGUGUGGUAACUGUGUCUGCAUAGAUAGUUUCCUAGGGAGUUUCCCAGUAUUUUUGGUUCUAUUUUUAGGUUGUGUUUUGGGGUUCGCCGGAAAAUCGCCGACUUCACUUCUAUUUUUCAUUUUCCAACUAGCUAACUCAGAGGCUGUGGAUAUGGAUUGUUGUACUAUAUUUAUAUGGCUUUAAUUUUUGAUUUGGGAUAAGAAAGUUUAAAAAUAGUUAAGUUCUAUGAAAGGUCGAUGUUUUGUUGGAUUUUUAUCACCGGCUUUCACUUCGAUUCGACGGGAAUCAAAUCUGGGUUGAUUGUUUGUUGUCGAUGUUGGAUUGCAGCUGUUCAAGUUGUUUGCAUUAGUUUUGGUAAAAAACGAGAAGAAAUGGAGUUGUUUUGGCCAAGAUCAGAACUUGGCCGGACUUUGAAGCUCGCCAGCCAUUUUCUCGAGUAUCCAGAAUCCUGCGGCUUGUUCUUCAAGCUUUGGCCAUGUUCUUCGGGCCGACCGCCUUUAAUCCAAAAACUUUAGGACCCGGAA